rnacentral:rRNA from 1 species
AAUACGUAGGCAGCGAGCGUUGUUCGGAGUUACUGGGCGUAAAGAGUGCGUAGGCGGUUUUCUAAGUUUGGUGUGAAAUCUCCCGGCUCAACUGGGAGGGUGCGCCGAAGACUGGAAGGCUUGAGUAUGGGAGAGGUAAGCGGAAUUCCUGGUGUAGCGGUGAAAUGCGUAGAUAUCAGGAGGAACACCUGCGGUGUAGACGGCUUACUGGACCAUAACUGACGCUGAGGCACGAAAGCGUGGGUAGCAAACAGGA